AACGAACGCUGGCGGCAGGCUUAACACAUGCAAGUCGAACGCCCCGCAAGGGGAGUGGCAGACGGGUGAGUAACGCGUGGGAAUCUACCUAGUUCUACGGAACAACAGUUGGAAACGACUGCUAAUACCGUAUACGCCCUACGGGGGAAAGAUUUAUCGGAAUUAGAUGAGCCCGCGUAAGAUUAGCUAGUUGGUGAGGUAAUGGCUCACCAAGGCGACGAUCUUUAGCUGGUCUGAGAGGAUGAUCAGCCACACUGGGACUGAGACACGGCCCAGACUCCUACGGGAGGCAGCAGUGGGGAAUAUUGGACAAUGGGCGCAAGCCUGAUCCAGCCAUGCCGCGUGAGUGAUGAAGGCCUUAGGGUUGUAAAGCUCUUUCAGUAGGGAAGAUAAUGACGGUACCUACAGAAGAAGCCCCGGCUAACUUCGUGCCAGCCGCCGCCGUAACAC
rnacentral:rRNA from 1 species